rnacentral:rRNA from 1 species
GCGCGAUACAGGGUGACAGCCCCGUACACAAAAGCGCAUGUGCUGUGAGCUCGAUGAGUAGGGCGGGACACGUGGUAUCCUGUCUGAAUAUGGGGGGACCAUCCUCCAAGGCUAAAUACUCCUGACUGACCGAUAGUGAACCAGUACCGUGAGGGAAAGGCGAAAAGAACCCCGGCGAGGGGAGUGAAAAAGAACCUGAAACCGUGUACGUACAAGCAGUGGGAGCACAGGUUUACCUGUGUGACUGCGUACCUUUUGUAUAAUGGGUCAGCGACUUAUAUUCUGUAGCAAGGUUAACCGUAUAGGGGAGCCGGAGGGAAACCGAGUCUUAAUUGGGCGUUAAGUUGCAGGGUAUAGACCCGAAACCCGGUGAUCUAGCCAUGGGCAGGUUGAAGGUUGGGUAACACUAACUGGAGGACCGAACCGACUAAUGUUGAAAAAUUAGCGGAUGACCUGUGGCU